AUGGUGCGGGACCGGUGGACUGAAGUCGCGGCUUCCCCACCAAGGUCUUUUUGCGCCACGGGCAUAUGGCAACACUGCAGCGUCUCUCGCCAGUUCAUGCGUGGGUGGGGAUCCAACCUUGGUGCGGAUCUUAGGGUUCGCAAAGGGGAACUGUUGGACCAGAUUAAGGCCCUGGAUGAGGUGGCCGAUUCGACCGGCCUCUCGGCUGACGACUGGCUCUGGCGGUACGCCCUUGAAUCCUUGUUGAUGGAGAUAUUCAUGGGUGAAGAGCUAUUCUGGCAACGACACGGGGUCCAGAAGUGGAUGCUUGAGGGUGAUGCCAAUACUGCUUACUUCCAGGCGCUCGCCACUGGGUGCUGUAGGAAGUGCUCCAUCCCGUGCCUCUGGGAUGGGGACACCCUCCUGGAACACCCGGACGAGAUUAGAUCCCAUAUU
rnacentral:rRNA from 1 species